rnacentral:piRNA from 1 species
UUAGAGUGAACGGCGUUCUCAUUAGAGAU